CACCCCAGCAAUGGGCAAAGAGAUACCUUGGUGUUGGUGGUAGUGUUCUUAUCAGUCAGGGGCAGAGCAGAUGGCAUUCCUUUGUUCAUCCUAGCCUGAUGCCUGGCUUGGGGGUGGGGGGCAAAGCUGCCUUAUGCCUGGGACUCAUAA